rnacentral:rRNA from 1 species
AACGCUGGCGGCGUGCCUAAUACAUGCAAGUCGAGCGAGCGGAACCAACAGAUUUACUUCGGUAAUGACGUUGGGAAAGCGAGCGGCGGAUGGGUGAGUAACACGUGGGGAACCUGCCCCUAAGUCUGGGAUACCAUUUGGAAACAAGUGCUAAUACCGGAUAAUAAAGCAGAUCGCAUGAUCAGCUUUUGAAAGGCGGCGUAAGCUGUCGCUAAGGGAUGGCCCCGCGGUGCAUUAGCUAGUUGGUAAGGUAACGGCUUACCAAGGCGACGAUGCAUAGCCGAGUUGAGAGACUGAUCGGCCACAUUGGGACUGAGACACGGCCCAAACUCCUACGGGAGGCAGCAGUAGGGAAUCUUCCACAAUGGACGCAAGUCUGAUGGAGCAACGCCGCGUGAGUGAAGAAGGUUUUCGGAUCGUAAAGCUCUGUUGUUGGUGAAGAAGGAUAGAGGUAGUAACUGGCCUUUAUUUGACGGUAAUCAACCAGAAAGUCACGGCUAACUA